UUUUAUUAGAAAUUAUUAAUAAUAAAGUCUGCUCAAUGUUUUUUAAAUAGCCGCAAUCGUGCUAAGGUAGCAUAAUCAUUUGUCUUUUAAUUAAAGACUAGAACAAAAGAUUUAAUAUUUAAAUAAAUUUCUUUAAUUUAUAAAUUAAAAUUAUUUUUAAUGUAAAAAAACAUUAAUGUUUAAAAUAGACGAUAAGACCCUAUCGAACUUUACUUUAGUUCAACUGGGGAAGUUAAUUAAAUAUUAUUUUAAUCAAUUAUAAUAAAUAAAUGAUCUAAUCUAAUUAAUCUUAUGAAAAGUUACCGUAGGGAUAACAGUGUAAUAUUAUUUUAAAGCCCUUAUUUAAAAUAAUGAUUGCAACCUCGAUGUUGACUAAUAAUCAUAAUAACGCAAUAGUUAUUAUUGAAAGUCUGUUCGACUUUUAAAUAAUUACA
rnacentral:rRNA from 1 species